GACGAACGCUGGCGGCGUGCUUAACACAUGCAAGUCGAACGAGAGGACAAGAGAAGCUUGCUUCUUUUGGAAUCGAGUGGCAAACGGGUGAGUAACACGUAAACAACCUGCCUUCAGGAUGGGGACAACAGACGGAAACGACUGCUAAUACCGAAUACGCUUGGGAGACCGCAUGAUCUACCAAGGAAAGGGUGGCCUCUACCUGUAAGCUAUCGCCUGAAGAGGGGUUUGCGUCUGAUUAGGCAGUUGGUGAGGUAACGGCCCACCAAACCUACGAUCAGUAGCCGGUCUGAGAGGUUGAACGGCCACAUUGGGACUGAGAUACGGCCCAGACUCCUACGGGAGGCAGCAGUGGGGAAUAUUGGGCAAUGGGCGCAAGCCUGACCCAGCAACGCCGCGUGAAGGAAGAAGGCUUUCGGGUUGUAAACUUCUUUUGUCAGGGACGAGCAGAAGACGGUACCUGACGAAUAAGCCACGGCUAACUCCGUG
rnacentral:rRNA from 1 species